UACAGAGGUCCCAAGCGUUGUUCGGAUUCACUGGGCGUAAAGGGUGCGUAGGUGGUGAGGUAAGUCGGAUGUGAAAUCUCCGAGCUCAACUCGGAAAUGGCAUUGGAAACUACCUUGCUCGAGGGUUGGAGGGGGGACUGGAAUACUUGGUGUAGCAGUGAAAUGCGUAGAUAUCAAGUGGAACACCAGUGGCGAAGGCGAGUCCCUGGACAACUCCUGACACUGAGGCACGAAAGCUAGGGGAGCAGACAGG
rnacentral:rRNA from 1 species